rnacentral:rRNA from 1 species
UACAGAGGGGGCAAGCGUUGUUCGGAAUUACUGGGCGUAAAGGGCGCGUAGGCGGCCUUCUAAGUCGAACGUGAAAUCCCCGGGCUCAACCCGGGAACUGCGUCCGAUACUGGAAGGCUUGAAUCCGGGAGAGGGAUGCGGAAUUCCAGGUGUAGCGGUGAAAUGCGUAGAUAUCUGGAGGAACACCUGUGGCGAAGGCGGCCGACUGGGCCGACCCUGACGCUGAGGCGCGAAGGCGUGGGGAGCGAACGGG